AUGCCCAAGGCGACCGGGAGCGGCCCCUCCCCAGAGAGCAAGGCAGCGCGGUCGCUGAAGCAGGUCUCCGGCUCCUGGGACCCUCCUCCGUCAGCCAGUGGUUACGAUCACCAGGGUAGGUAUGGGCCUGCUCCAGAGAUGAAAGAAAUAACUCACUCCUGCCACAUAAAUGAGACAGCAGAGAGGAAAAUGUGGACCGUCUUUCUAACGGAUGCAAGCAAAACAAUCUUAUUGAGACUAUUAUAUGUCACAGAAUAUGCAACUUAAUCUACACAUGAAGAAUAUUAAUUCCAGCUUAUUUAUUAUAGGACUCCUUCUCUACUUUCACCCUCACAAUUAUCCCAACCUCCUUUCUGGCUCAAAAUUUACAUUCUGGCUUCAAUUCCCUUCUCGGUAUCCCAGUGUGAAAUAGUAGUAGUGGUUGCAUCAUGAACACCAGAAAUAUUUUUAAAUGCUCCCCUUUUAUGACUCUGUAUGAUUUCUUUGUGUUUGUUUUCUAUCGCCUAAUUGUAGAAAUUCGAAAUUCAAAUGGCAUUCAAACGGGCAUAAAUGUGAAAAAUCGCAUGUAAUGUGGCCCUUCACCAGUAUGUGGGGAUGUGUUCAUACAUUUGAAAUUACAGAGCGAUUACUUCAGUUGCUACUUUUCUUAACAGAGAAAACUUUCAAACUGCCCUGCUUUUUGUGGCAGUAAAAAAUAAGAUUUGUGUUUAAUAUUAAAGUCUUAGCUGCAUAAGUAGUUCUUUAAAAUUAGCUUUAAACCACAGCAAUCAUAAAAUGAGGAUUCUGUGAGUUCUAAUUAAUAGUCAGCAUCACCAAAGUAAUGCAAUAUGAAGGUGUAGAAUCUGUACUUGGAUGAUUCUUUUAAAUCUAUGUGUCUUCUUUUAAAGAAAACAGAACAUAGCAAUAGCAGAGACUAGCAAAAAAGGAGGAAUCUCCACUAUUAGAGUUUAUCGGUCAUACUUUCAAGUAGCUAAUUGAACUAUUUUGUUGCUACUGAUUUCCAAGGGUCUUAUAAAGAUGUUUGAGGUUGAAAGUUCUAAUGUAACUAUCAGAAAUAUAAAUCGGGGAAGAAUAUGUAUAUAUUUAGAUUGCAUGCCUCACUGCCCUUAAAUAAAAUCAGGACUAAAACUAAUUGUAAGUACA
rnacentral:lncRNA from 13 species